rnacentral:rRNA from 1 species
UACGGAGGGGCUAGCGUUGUUCGGAAUUAUUGGGCGUAAAGAGCUCGUAGGCGGUCUGUUGCGUCCGCUGUGAAAACUCGGGGCUUAACCCCGAGCCUGCAGUGGAUACGGGCAGACUAGAGGUAGGUAGGGGAGAAUGGAAUUCCCGGUGUAGCGGUGAAAUGCGCAGAUAUCGGGAGGAACACCGGUGGCGAAGGCGGUUCUCUGGGCCUUACCUGACGCUGAGG